rnacentral:lncRNA from 1 species
AGAGAUAUUGCAUGAUGGUUGUUAUGGUAAUCCAUACCCUCCUUAAGUUCUUAGAUAGAUUCUAUACCAUACUUAAAUUUUCAAACUGGAUAUUAGCUCGUCUUUUAUCAUCCUAACACCAUCAAUAAUUAUUUAGCAUCAUCACUUACAAUUUGGGGGAUAUGCGAUAAAGCCCCGGAAAAAUUACCAGUUACCGGUAAUAAUAAUGGCUUUCCCUAAUGCAAUAACUGAAUAAUUUCUGGCUUCUUUUCGAUUUCUUAUAUUCUCG